GACGGUCUGAGUGCACUCUGGGACUUCCAUCAACCUCUGUGCAAAUGUAACCCAUCCGGUCAGAUAUCCAAUGGGUCGGCGGUAUUGUCGGCAGACGGCAUGUCGGUGACAUACACUUGUGACACUGGCUUCACGCUCAAUGGCGCUGGAAUUAGGUCUUGCAACACCGACGGGACAGGCUGGACUGGCACAGAACCAAGCUGUGUUUCUUGCCCUGAACUGACCACUCUUUCGAACGGGGAUAUAACCCUGGUUACGAACGGCUCAGUGACGUCCGUUGAAGUGGCAUGUGAUGUCGGUACAUCUGCCCGUGGAGAAGAC